GGAGCCAGCUACUGUGCCAUGAGGAACUCAAGUGGCUCUGUGGAAAGGCCUGUGUGAUGAGGAAGUGAGGCCUCUUGCCAACAGCCAUGGAACUCUGGAUGUGACUCCUGUUACAUGAAAAUGGAAGAGGUCAGAGUUGUGCCAGAGGGAGGCCAGCCACAUCCAGGCAGGGCCCCCAUGGCCAGAACCCUGCUAGAGCCAUCAAGGUCCCAGUUCCUUCCUCAGGAAACUGACCCUCAGGCAGAGAAUUGAAACUCAUGAGAUCACCACAUCCAGACAAUGAGGUGCCAGACCCCCUCAUCCAUCAUGAUUGCUUCUCUACCCAUCCCUAAUUCCUUUUUUCCCCAACUUCCCCGCUUCAUAAACCUCCCAAUUUUAGUUGGUCAGGGAGACAUAUCUGAGCCUUAUCUCCCAUUCUCCUCUGCUGCAGCACCCAAUUAAAGCC